GAUGAACGCUGGCGGCGUGCCUAAUACAUGCAAGUCGAGCGAACAGACGAGGAGCUUGCUCCUCUGACGUUAGCGGCGGACGGGUGAGUAACACGUGGAUAACCUACCUAUAAGACUGGGAUAACUUCAGGAAACCGGAGCUAAUACCGGAUAAUAUAUUGAACCGCAUGGUUCAAUAGUGAAAGACGGUUUUGCUGUCACUUAUAGAUGGAUCCGCGCCGCAUUAGCUAGUUGGUAAGGUAACGGCUUACCAAGGCAACGAUGCGUAGCCGACCUGAGAGGGUGACCGGCACACUGGAACUGAGACACGGUCCAGACUCCUACGGGAGGCAGCAGUAGGGAAUCUUCCGCAAUGGGCGAAAGCCUGACGGAGCAACGCCGCGUGAGUGAUGAAGGUCUUCGGAUCGUAAAACUCUGUUAUUAGGGAAGAACAAAUGUGUAAGUAACUAUGCACGUCUUGACGGUACCUAAUCAGAAAGCCACGGCUAACUACGUG
rnacentral:rRNA from 1 species